rnacentral:rRNA from 1 species
CAGUCGCCGCGGUAAUACGGAGGGUGCAAGCGUUAAUCGGAAUUACUGGGCGUAAAGCGCACGCAGGCGGUCUGACAAGUCAGAUGUGAAAUCCCCGGGCUUAACCUGGGAACUGCAUUUGAAACUGUCAGGCUGGAGUCUUGUAGAGGGGGGUGGAAUUCCAGGUGUAGCGGUGAAAUGCGUAGAGAUCUGGAGGAAUACCGGUGGCGAAGGCGGCCCCCUGGACAAAGACUGACGCUCAGGUGCGAAAGCGUGGGGAGCAAACAGGAUUAGAUACCCGCGUAGUCCCUGUCUCUUAUAC